UUUAUUGUUCUUUUUUAAUUCCCUCCUGUUAUUAACACCCCCCCCCCCCCCAUCCCCGCUCUCAGUUUUAUUCCAAGCUACCUGCUGAAUUGCUCAGCGAGUGUUUUCAAAGGCUCCUUGGCCGGCGCCGCAGUCCGCGGGGCCAAAUAUGUGAGCGUGCAUAGCGGAAAGGAACCGGGAGCCUUGCUGGGCGAGCACUUACAGGCGCAAGGAUCAGUGCUAGGUCAUUUGCAGAGUUGGCAAGGAUCUCCCCUCGCCCACAGGUCACUGAGCAAAGUUGUUUUGUGUCCAUGCGCCAGAGCUCCCAGCCUGGGACAUAAUAAGGGGAGGAUCUGGCCCCCAGACAAUCUAGUGAAGUGUCGAUUUUAAGUGUAAAUAACGCAAAACGCCAUGCUCAGGCUUUGCCAGAAAACACCGGAUUUGCUUUUAUGUUUUGUCGGGGACAGGCGGGAACGUAACCAAUUUACCCUCCUGGGCUUUCCUGGUGCUAUCAUUAGCUAACAUGCAAGUUUCCCCAGUCUGUUUCUUACAUUGAGACAAUGCAAGACAUGGUAAGCCUCCUCUGUCUCCCUCCUCUGCUCCCAGAAAAAGAGGGGAAUAUAUUUCUGGCUGUUGCAGAACAUCAUAAGGCUUUCUCACAUCACUUCCAACACAUUCCUCGCCUGCGUUCAUCCAGGAAGAAUGUGCUGCAUUUGAUUUCUGUCUCAGGUCACUCAUCUCACAGCUAUGUGCCAGAAACUGUGUUUCCCUUUGUAGGCCAUGCCAGAGGAACGUCUGCAAUUGAGAAACCUGCUCUCAGCAGUUUAAUUGAUUUCAAUGGACUGUACCUUCAAGACUUUAUCAGAGGAACUUGAAGCCACGCAAAAGCUGUAAAGUAUAUCUGACUUAGGAAGUCAUUGAGGACGCUAUGAAGAAUGCCAAUCUCAUUCAUUGCUGAGGAUGUCUAUUGAACAGAGAGCUAUUUAAUAUAUGGUUUAUCUUCAAUAUGUCCUGGAAUGAAGAAGUCCAUGCUUUAUACUCUCUCCCACAACAUCUGAUUCAGUACAUGUUCUCUUAGGAGAAGGAAGACAGCCAGCAAAAGGAGGGAAAACAAACUGAACAGUGAUUUGAGCCAGAACUCCUACAUCCCCAAGGAACCCUCUAGCUAACAGUAAAGCGUUCCCUCUGAGGCACUGUGAUGUUCACAAGUGAGUUAUUCAAAAGUUGAGAGAUGUUAAAAUUGCUUGAUUUUUGCUCAGUUUGCUAUGUAAAUGCAAUGUGUUGCUUUUUCUGUCUGGACAGCUGGGAGGAAGGCAUCAGAGCAGAGGAAGAUCUGGCUCUCUAAGCAAGUAGUGUGGUCCAGGGUAGCAGUGAAACAGAACCAAGGACCUAGCUUCCAUGCAAUCUGCAUUACGGGGAGUUGCUUUGAAUGAUCUCAAGUCUGGUUCUGUGCAUUGAAUGCCAUUUGGUAUUUGGAGUCCAUUAGGUGCAGUCCUGGAGCACUUCUUAAUUAAUCCUAAAGAUUCACCCUGAAGAUUCAUCCUGAAUUCAGGUGCUCUGAGACAGCUAUUUUAUGCACUCCUGUCCUGAACUGAAAAACAAUGGAGGUACUUUCUUCAAAUCCUGGAAUGCAGAACAGUGCUGUGAAGGAGAAAACCAGGAGAAAAAGAACUGCUACAGCAAGUACAUCUUUGAGGACCCUAAGAAGAUCAGGGGGCCAACAAGCAGCAGGGAGCAGAAGCAGAGUUCAAAUUCCAAGGGCACAGAAAGAAAGACACCUUUAUAGGAACAAAGAAGAGUCUACAUUCUUGAUGCAAGAAGCCAUUGGGAGUUGCUGAAAUGGAAAGAAGGACUGAUGGAAAAGAUAACCUCUAUGCUGAGAUCUAGUGGACAGAUGGUAGUCUUGUAUUCAUGCUGUUUAUUUAAGUGUCUCCCUGCCACCAGAUACACAUUUUAACUACUGACAGAGCUAUCUUUGUCUAGCUUGUUACUUCUGUGUUAGAAGAGAAAUUAAUUUUGUAAAUGGGAAGUCUGGUAUGCCUUUUUGUGUUUUCAACAAAUACUAGCAAGCCUAUGUGUUAGGGUUUCUGGAUCUCAGUCAUUUUAAAGAAGUAGUUUCAAGAUAUGCAUUCAGUCUGCAGUCAUUUUCUUUUGCUUAUGCUGCUGCUUAUUCUUCUGAUUUCAGUGAAAGAACUAGCAGGAACAAGAUAGAUUUGUGGACUAUUUUUCUAUGUCAUUUUUCACAUAUGAUUUCACCCACAGGCUUUCCACCAG